rnacentral:lncRNA from 1 species
GGCGGGGCCAGGUGUGUGGGCGUGGCCUGUCUGACCCCGCCCCUCCGCAGGAGGCGGGGCGGGCGCUGUGGGCGGAGCUUGAGGCCGCUCGGGCGGCCAAGGCGGGGGCGGAGCUCCGGGCCCGGGAGGUGGAGGCGCAGUGCCGGGCCCGGGGGGCGGAGCUGGAGCGGCUGCGGCAGGCGGUGCAGGCGGCCCGGCAGUCCCGGCGCCGGGCGGAGCAGGAGCGGGACCGGGUGGCGGCGGAGCUUGGCCACGCCCCCCGCGCCAGCGCCCCCGCCGGUGACCCCGCGGCGCUGGAGGAGCUGCGGGAGCAGAACCGGGACCUGCGGGAGCGGCCGGGACAGCGGCGGGGACAGGUGCAGCAGCUGCGGCGGGCCCGGGACCGCCCCGGGAGCCCUGGGACCACCGGGAUAACCGGAACCACCGGGACAACAACCGGGACAACAACCGGGACCACCGGGAUAUCAACUGGGAUAACCGGGACAACCGGGAUAACAGACGGGAUAACAGCCAGGACCACCGGGAUAACAACCGGGAUAACCGGGAGCACCGGGAAAACCGGGACCACCGGGAUAACCGGGACUCCCGGGAUAAGCGGGAUAACCGGGAUAACAACCGGGAUAACAACCGGGACCCCCGGGACUCCCGGGAUAACCGGGAGCGCCGGGAGCGCCGGGAGCGCCGGGAUAACCGGAACCACCAGGAUAACCGGGAUAACCGGGACAACAACCGGAAUAACCGGGAUAACCGGAGUGACCAGGAGCACCGGGACCCCCGGGACCGCCAGGAUAACCGGGAUAACAACCGGAAUAACCGGGAUAACCGGGAGCACCAGAAUAACCGGGAUAACCGGGAGCACCAGGAUAACCGGGAUAACAACCGGGAUAACAACCGGGAUAACCGGGAUAACCGAGUCCGCCCUGCGCGCCCGCUGCGCCCGCCUGGAGGAACUGCUGCGGAACGAGGCGGGGGCGCGGCUGGCGCUGGCCCGUGCCGCGCGUGUCACCGGGCGCCGCGUGCGGCUCCUGAUGGCCGAGGCUGAGGAGGAGCGGCUGAGAGGGGAGCGGUACCGGCAGCAGGUGGGACCCGUGUCACCUGUGUCACCUGUGUCACCUGUGUGUCACGUGUGUCACCCCUGUGUCACCUGUGUCACCUGUGUGUCACCUGUGUCAUCUGUGUCACCUGUCACCUGUGUGUCACCUGUGUCACCUGUGUGUCACCUGUCACCUGUGUGUCACCUGUGUGUCAUCUGUGUGUCACCUGUGUGUGUCACCUGUGUCACCUCUCACCCGUGUCACCUGUGUCACCUCUGUGUGUGUCACCUGUGUCACCUGUGUUACCUCUGUGUCACCUGUGUCACCUGUGUCACCUGUGUGUUACCUGUGUCACCUCUGUGUCACCUGUGUCACCUGUGUGUCAUCUCUGUGUCACCUGUGUGUGUCACCUGUGUCACCUGUGUCAUCUGUGUCUCACCUCUGUGUCACCUGUGUGGGUCACCUCUGUGUGUCACCUGUGUCACCUGUGUCACCUGUGUGUGUCACCUGU